CUCAUUCUCAAUAAAGCAAAUCAGGUCAAAGAAAGCUUGUAAAGUUUGCAGUGUUCACCAGUUUCCAGCCACUGCGCACCAUUAACAUGUGAUAGUCCUGAUAUAUACACACAUAAAUACUUAAACCCUCAGUGUGCUUAAAAUGGCAAUUACAUUAAGCAAAGAUCAAUUUAUAAAAGAAUUAUAUAAAAGACACUUGUUUUUAGUAGUUCGUUUUUUAAAAAGUUUUUAUUGUAAAAUAUGCUUUUAAAGAACUUACUAGUGGUAAACUUUAAAUCUGUACAACUUUCAAUCAGUGUCUUAAAAAAAUAAAAUAAAUUGUUUUAAUUUUUGUCCGACUUAAUCUGUUGCUGUUUAAGUGCUCAGUGCUAAAUAAUAUAAUGGAAAUAUUGCAAUAUAAGUAUGUCCUAUCUUUAAAUUGAUGAUCAGGGUCAGCAAAACUUCUUACAAUUUGACAUCUUUUAAUUCACAAUUAAUUAAUUAAUUUGUGAUUAAAGUAAGUGCAAGGCACCCUUUGAGUUCUGCGUAUGUGUACAGGUAAAAUAAAACAUGACCAUCACACCAAAUGCUUUUCCCAACUCAAAUAUGUAUCAAGUACUAAUCCAGGUGUCAUGAUCGUAUGUCUUGGAAGUAAAAACAGCUAAAAACAACAGAAUUACCUACAUUUCCAUUUAAAUGAAAAGAUGUAGGCACAGUCAAUUUCAGCCAUUCACAUUCAUUAUGAAUAUCAUGAACACAUUCCCAUUGGCAUUAAUUCAAAAUUACGCGAUUGUAUCUGUAGCAUACAACAAAAACAAAUCAAUUUAUGUUUUCAACUGACAUCAUCAAGUGUACAGUGUUAUAAAUGUGGCACUAUGGAAAACACACCUCAUGUACCUAUAUGCAAAUGAGUACGGGACAAUAAAACCUAAUUGCCUUGAAGCGACUGUUGUUGUGAUUUGGCGCUAUAUAAAUAAAAUGUAAUUUAUAAAAUUAUGCUAGUAGCUCAUUGACAGCUUCAUAUUUUUUGUAAAAGCUGAUUUACAACUAAAGCAAGUUUACUAAUGACCUGUGUAAAUCAUACACUGACAAGCAGUCAUUGUAAAAACAUAAGGUGCAUUAAAAUAAACUUUGUACUUAUACAACAGUGCACUUUGAGUCAUUAUUUGUACACAUUUACUCAUGUUAGUUCAGAAUAAAAAAUCCAAAUGAAUUAAAAUAAUUUAUACGUAUAGCCACACACUUCAAUGCAGUGCUUUGGACUGAUACACGCCAAGUCAUCAGCGAAUAAGAUCCUGGAAAUCAUUCCUGGAAUCAUGAUCACAUAGGAUACAUCAGUAAGACAAUUAGUGAGUAUAGAGUCAGAAAAUAUAAAUUUACUAUAAAAUGUUACAUUAGAUUAUGUAUUUAUUUCGGUCAAACUCUACUUUCUGAAAUCACAUUUUUCUUCUUUUGUAUUUUU
ensembl:lncRNA